GUCGGACUGGUGAAGUGAAAAGUUUUGGGAGUGAAUUACUUGAAAAGAAUCCAGUCGGAAGUAAAGUGAUUAACCUCGCACUUUUAAUAUUAUACCAAAUUACCUUCAGUUUGGUAAUACAAGGCUACACCAAAACAAGAAACCACAAAUUCUCCGGCCACCGGUAAUCGCUAUCCCCGUUCCCAGGAUCUGCUGACUCCGGAGAAGUCGAACUUGCCUGACUCAAGGUCUCGGAGCAAUCAAAGUGCAGUGCAGGAAAAUCGAGGAAAUCCCUGGAAAACUCCGGUUGCUUUCUGUUCCUCCUAGGCAUGUCAUUUUCAGGCAUCCCUAGCCAAGAUGCAGAUGUUCCUAGUGAAUCUCUACAAGGUGGAUAUGCUUCUGGAAAAGCCUGCUGGCUCCUCCUUCGCGGUUUACAAUCAGCCUUGCGUCUCUCAAUGAGGAAUAAGGGGUAAAGACCUCUCUGGAGCGGGACCAUACAGCUCGGAGUCCAAGGACGCCAACGUGAUGUAGCGCACCAAGGGUAUGGAACAGCACGAGACGAACUGGAGGCUGGUGUCCAGGUCGUUGGCUCCGUCUGCGUCCCCCUCCUCGGCGUCAUUCUCCUCGUCCAGGAGGGCCUGUAGCUUGCGGGCCAGCUCGUAGUCCGACUCCUGCAAUGCCGUGAGAUGCGAUUACCCUAAUCCUUGCCUCCUUCCUUCUCUGCGUUCAGCUGCGCGUGCAGCAUCACGGCGAACAGGUAGUCAUCGCCUUCCGACUUGGUGGACGCCUCCAUGCCAAUAGUUCAAUCUCGUCCAGAACUUGGGAAAGAGAUCCGCGAAGAACAAGGAGCAAAUCGAAAAAGAGAAGAAGCGAAUAAUGUUUGGCGCUUUUCGUGCAGGGUGGCCAGAUUUUUUUAGGGGGAAAUACAAGGCUUAUCGAGUAUCGAUAUGUUUUGAAAGAAUGCUCGGGGCCUUCUCUAGAUAUUAAACUACAAAAAUAUCGCGAAGGAAAUAAUUUUAAACUCUACAAAUUGACU